GACGAACGCUGGCGGCGUGCUUAAUACAUGCAAGUCGAACGGAAAGGCCACUUUCUUGGUUCUCUGGUGUCGCACGGGGGAGUAACACUUAAGUAACCUUCCCUUGACUUCGGGAUAACUUCAGGUUACUGGGGCUAAUACUGAAUAGGAAUCCUUUCUUCAUGGGCGGGGUUGGAAAGCGUCGGGCGUUCUGGAUGUAAUCGCUGCUUAGCAGCUUGUUGGUGUGGUUGUUGCUUACCAAGGCGUUGACGGGUAGCCGCACUGGGUGGGCGACCGGCCACAUUGGGACUGAGAUACGGCCGAGACACCGACGGGAGGGAGAAGUGGGGAAUCUUGACCGAUGGGCGGAAGCUGGAUGCAGAAACGCCGCGGGCGGGAUGACGGCCUUAGGGUUGUAAACCGCUUUCAGAAGGGGCGAAGCUUGUGGUGACGGUACCUGCAGAAGAAGCACCGGCUAACUACGUG
rnacentral:rRNA from 1 species